rfam:Facklamia ignava CCTG 37419 genomic scaffold supercont1.2, whole genome shotgun sequence.
ACUCAUUGUGUUAAACGACCGUAGACAGUAAGUGGCAUCUGCCUUAAAUAUCUUACCGAGGAAGUUCCAGUAGUGAUCAAAUUGAUACAUUAAGGAAUGGUUCUCUAUGUCUAAGGUGACAUAGGGCUUUUUUAUAUUCUAU